rnacentral:misc_RNA from 1 species
AAGUCGUAACAAGGUUUCCGUAGGUGAACCUGCGGAAGGAUCAUUAACACGUAUCCAACGUUAAACAACCCUGUGAACUUUCAGACGCUCUUGUAGCCCAGGAGGAACAGCAAUCCCGGUAAAUCAAUGGCGAAAAAGUUUUGAUUGUCCAAAAGGUAUCAAGUUACAAUCGAGCUAGGAGCAGUGGCAUGGUUUCCCUAAGCAGUGCAGAAGGAUCCACUGAGUAAGGAUAACGCAUCACGGUUGCCAGACAUGUCACAGGGCUUUACGCCCCUUCAUUCACCCCUUGCCUAAUCAAGCCCCGCGGAAACGCCGGGCAAAAAAAUCUGAACAACUGUUAACAAUGGAUAUCUUGGUUCUC